CAGAGGUCUGGGCUGCGAUCCACAGCCACCAUGUGUGCCGGCCUUGGGCGUGCAGCAGGCUCCACCCAGCCUGUUUCUUCGCACACGCAGUAGAGAAACUGUGCGGACUCCCACCCAGGAGUUGAUUCAACAACAGACCAGGAUCAGAGGCUGCAGGUACCAAAACCAAGGAGCGCUUUCCUUUGGGGUUGUGAUGUAAUGGAUUUCUUGCUCCUGGUCCCAGUCACAAAGCCUCGAAAAGCCACCGCCUGAGAUCACGAACCCUGGCCCUUUUUUUGCCAGCAGGAGCGGGAAUUGGCUGCAGCUCCCCUCCCGAAGCUCCUUGCCUACACACCUGGCCACCUGCUCAGGGGCCCCAUCCCAGCAGCUGCACACACUCAUGCCUCUGUGUCCUUCAAACCCUCCCUUCUCUCGUACUCUCUUCGUCCAAACCUGCCUGGAUCCAGGGCCGCCUGUGUAAAUGUUGCACUGUCC
rnacentral:lncRNA from 1 species